rnacentral:rRNA from 1 species
GAGUUUGAUCCUGGCUCAGGACGAACGCUGGCGGCGUGCCUAAUACAUGCAAGUCGAGCGGAUCUUGAGAAAAGCUUGCUUUUCACUUGGUUAGCGGCGGACGGGUGAGUAACACGUGGGCAACCUGCCUGUAAGACUGGGAUAACUUCGGGAAACCGGAGCUAAUACCGGAUAACAUCAGACACCACAUGGUGUCUGACUAAAAGAUGGCUUCGGCUAUCACUUACAGAUGGGCCCGCGUCGCAUUAGCUAGUUGGUGAGGUAAUGGCUCACCAAGGCGACGAUGCGUAGCCGACCUGAGAGGGUGAUCGGCCACACUGGGACUGAGACACGGCCCAGACUCCUACGGGAGGCAGCAGUAGGGAAUCUUCCACAAUGGACGAAAGUCUGAUGGAGCAACGCCGCGUGAGCGAUGAAGGCCUUCGGGUCGUAAAGCUCUGUUGUUAGGGAAGAACAAGUACCGUUCGAAUAGGGCGGUACCAUGACGGUACCUAACCAGAAAGCCACGGCUAACUACGUGCCAGCAGCCGCGGUAAUACGUAGGUGGCAAGCGUUGUCCGGAAUUAUUGGGCGUAAAGCGCGCGCAGGCGGUCCUUUAAGUCUGAUGUGAAAGCCCACGGCUCAACCGUGGAGGGUCAUUGGAAACUGGAGGACUUGAGUGCAGAAGAGAAGAGCGGAAUUCCACGUGUAGCGGUGAAAUGCGUAGAGAUGUGGAGGAACACCAGUGGCGAAGGCGGCUCUUUGGUCUGUAACUGACGCUGAGGCGCGAAAGCGUGGGGAGCAAACAGGAUUAGAUACCCUGGUAGUCCACGCCGUAAACGAUGGAUGCUCGCCGUUGCCUCGUCAAGGGGCAGUGGCUAAGCUAACGCGUUAAGCAUCCCGCCUGGGGAGUACGUCCGCAAGGAUGAAACUCAAAGGAAUUGACGGGGGCCCGCACAAGCGGUGGAGCAUGUGGCUUAAUUCGAUGCAACGCGAAGAACCUUACCUAGGCUCGAACGCUAGGCGACCGCUCCUGAAAGGGAGCUUUCCGCAAGGACGCCUAGCGAGGUACUGCAUGGCUGUCGUCAGCUCGUGUCGUGAGAUGUUGGGUUAAGUCCCGCAACGAGCGUAACCCCUGUUGCUAGUUACCAGCGGAUUGUGCCGGGGACUCUAGCGAGACUGCCUGCGCAAGCAGGAGGAAGGUGGGGAUGACGUCAAGUCAUCAUGGUCCUUACGCCUAGGGCUGCACACGUGCUACAAUGGCCGGUACAACGGGCAGCCACCCCGCGAGGGGGAGCGAAUCCCUGAAAACCGGUCCCAGUUCGGAUUGGAGUCUGCAACUCGACUCCAUGAAGCAGGAAUCGCUAGUAAUCGCGGAUCAGCAAUGCCGCGGUGAAUCCGUUCCCGGGCCUUGUACACACCGCCCGUCAAGCCAUGGAAGCUGAGAGCACCCGAAGUCCGUGACCCAACCCUUUGGGAGGGAGCGGCCGAAAGUGAGCUCAGUGACUGGGGCUAAGUCGUAACAAGGUAGCCGU